rnacentral:rRNA from 1 species
CUACCAUUUCUACGGAAGGCAACAGGGACGAAACUUAUCCAAUCCUAAUUCAGGGAGAUAGUUAAUGGACAUAACAAUUUCGGCCAUUCUGGUUUGAAACUGUAAUGAUCGGAGUCUAAACACCUUCGAGAAAUCUAUUGGAGUUCAAGUCGGUUGCCAGCAAACGCGGUAAUUACUGCUCCAAUAGCGUAUAUUAAAGUUGUUGUAAUUAAAAGCUCGUAGUUGAAAUUCCGGCGCUUUUGCGCCUGACUGUUGCUUCUAUCGCUACUUCACAGUUGUGUUAGCUAGUUCAGUCGUUUACUGUGACAAAAAUAAGUGCUUAAAGCAGGCUAUCGCUUGAAUAAUCUAGCAUGGAAUAAUAAAAGACGACUUUGUUCAUUUUAUUGGUUAUUGGACAAAGUAAUGAUUAACAGGAACAGUAGGGGG